ensembl:processed_transcript predicted gene, 35025
UCUCUCGUUCCUGGGUUUCUUUGCUUCGGGGAGGUCUGGCUCACUCGGGUUGCACUGGACGUGGCUGCUGUGAUCUGACCCAUGGGUAUCAGCUGUAGUGUUUGGGGUCGUUAAGUCUUAAGACUCGAGUCAGAGUUCCGUGACAGAUACACCAUUUGUGCGUGUAGGUGGAAUAUCUACAGCGGCACUAAAGAAAGUACUCCGUAGGAUUGUAGUUCCUGACUAGAGAAGAGAGGAGCGGUUUUGAAGCGCCCGCCGCUCUGUGGGUCCACAGACUAGCUAGUGGUAAGCGCAAAUCUCAGGUUGAACAAGGAGGAAAAAGAGCUGGAAUCACAGAGGAGACCCCUGAGUGACCUUAGGGAUCUGGACUUCCGGUACGAGUUGCCUGAGCAGCACUUUUAGGGUGCCAUCCCGGCUCUUGCCGCGUGGGCAGAUGUGUUAAGUAAGACGCCUUGGCUGAGGGAAAUCGGUCCGUUUUCCCCUCAAGCAGGGCUGGUGACUGGCCUCCACUUUUGACGCCUCCGUGGCGUCUACUAGAGACGGCUUUCGAGGCGGCUGCCGGCGUGAGGCUUGUCUCCACUUUUUCCCCGUUUGUGGCUGCUGAUGGUUAGACAUUCCCUCACCUUGUUUUCUCACAUAUCCUCACUUCUGUGUCCAACCCACAGUAGUCGCUCCCAAUGCACUUCCUG